AAUCCACUUAGGGGAUUCUUUGGAAGAUAUAGCUUCUUCAUAAGAGACUGGUUCUAAGUCAAAAUGAUCAGAUUCAGUCUGAUCAGAUGCAAAAUCAGCAUGUUGAUACCUGGGUGGAGGUCUUAUUUCCCUCCUUUCUCUGUCCCUGGCAAGCUGGUAGCCCUGCAGAUCAUGUGCAGGCUCCAGAUGCUCUUCAUCUUCAAUUAUUUCAACAUCUGAGUUAUUUU
rnacentral:lncRNA from 1 species